AGAGUUUGAUCAUGGCUCAGAUUGAACGCUGGCGGCAGGCCUAACACAUGCAAGUCGAGCGGUAGCACAGAGAGCUUGCUCUCGGGUGACGAGCGGCGGACGGGUGAGUAAUGUCUGGGAAACUGCCUGAUGGAGGGGGAUAACUACUGGAAACGGUAGCUAAUACCGCAUAAUGUCGCAAGACCAAAGUGGGGGACCUUCGGGCCUCAUGCCAUCAGAUGUGCCCAGAUGGGAUUAGCUAGUAGGUGGGGUAACGGCUCACCUAGGCGACGAUCCCUAGCUGGUCUGAGAGGAUGACCAGCCACACUGGAACUGAGACACGGUCCAGACUCCUACGGGAGGCAGCAGUGGGGAAUAUUGCACAAUGGGCGCAAGCCUGAUGCAGCCAUGCCGCGUGUGUGAAGAAGGCCUUCGGGUUGUAAAGCACUUUCAGCGGGGAGGAAGGCGGUGAGAUUAAUAACCUCAUCGAUUGACGUUACCCGCAGAAGAAGCACCGGCUAACUCCGUGCCAGCAGCCGCGGUAAUACGGAGGGUGCAAGCGUUAAUCGGAAUUACUGGGCGUAAAGCGCACGCAGGCGGUCUGUCAAGUCGGAUGUGAAAUCCCCGGGCUCAACCUGGGAACUGCAUUCGAAACUGGCAGGCUAGAGUCUUGUAGAGGGGGGUAGAAUUCCAGGUGUAGCGGUGAAAUGCGUAGAGAUCUGGAGGAAUACCGGUGGCGAAGGCGGCCCCCUGGACAAAGACUGACGCUCAGGUGCGAAAGCGUGGGGAGCAAACAGGAUUAGAUACCCUGGUAGUCCACGCCGUAAACGAUGUCGAUUUGGAGGUUGUGCCCUUGAGGCGUGGCUUCCGGAGCUAACGCGUUAAAUCGACCGCCUGGGGAGUACGGCCGCAAGGUUAAAACUCAAAUGAAUUGACGGGGGCCCGCACAAGCGGUGGAGCAUGUGGUUUAAUUCGAUGCAACGCGAAGAACCUUACCUGGUCUUGACAUCCACAGAACUUUCCAGAGAUGGAUUGGUGCCUUCGGGAACUGUGAGACAGGUGCUGCAUGGCUGUCGUCAGCUCGUGUUGUGAAAUGUUGGGUUAAGUCCCGCAACGAGCGCAACCCUUAUCCUUUGUUGCCAGCGGUUCGGCCGGGAACUCAAAGGAGACUGCCAGUGAUAAACUGGAGGAAGGUGGGGAUGACGUCAAGUCAUCAUGGCCCUUACGACCAGGGCUACACACGUGCUACAAUGGCAUAUACAAAGAGAAGCGACCUCGCGAGAGCAAGCGGACCUCAUAAAGUAUGUCGUAGUCCGGAUUGGAGUCUGCAACUCGACUCCAUGAAGUCGGAAUCGCUAGUAAUCGUAGAUCAGAAUGCUACGGUGAAUACGUUCCCGGGCCUUGUACACACCGCCCGUCACACCAUGGGAGUGGGUUGCAAAAGAAGUAGGUAGCUUAACCUUCGGGAGGGCGCUUACCACUUUGUGAUUCAUGACUGGGGUGAAGUCGUAACAAGGUAACCGUAGGGGAACCUGCGGUUG
rnacentral:rRNA from 1 species